CCUACGGGCGACAGCAGUGAGGAAUAUUGGUCAAUGGACGAGAGUCUGAACCAGCCAAGUAGCGUGAAGGAUGACUGCCCUAUGGGUUGUAAACUUCUUUUAUAUGGGAAUAAAACGUUCCACGUGUGGGAUUUUGUAUGUACCAUAUGAAUAAGGAUCGGCUAACUCCGUGCCAGCAGCCGCGGUAAUACGGAGGAUCCGAGCGUUAUCCGGAUUUAUUGGGUUUAAAGGGAGCGUAGGUGGAUUGUUAAGUCAGUUGUGAAAGUUUGCGGCUCAACCGUAAAAUUGCAGUUGAAACUGGCAGUCUUGAGUACAGUAGAGGUGGGCGGAAUUCGUGGUGUAGCGGUGAAAUGCUUAGAUAUCACGAAGAACUCCGAUUGCGAAGGCAGUUCACUUGACUGCAACUGACACUGAGGCUCGAAAGUGUGGGUAUCAAACAGGAUUAGAUACCCCAGUAGUC
rnacentral:rRNA from 1 species